rnacentral:tRNA from 1 species
UAGCUCAAUCGGUAGAGCGUGAGACUCUUAAUCUCAAGGUUGUGGGUUCGACCCCCA